rnacentral:rRNA from 1 species
UACGAGGGGGGGCAAGCGUUGUUCGGAAUUAUUGGGCGUAAAGGGUGCGUAGGCGGUUUGGUAAGUCUUAUGUGAAAUCUACAGGCUCAACUUGUAGUCUGCAUGAGAAACUGCCGGGCUUGAGUAUGGGAGAGGCGAGUGGAAUUCCUGGUGUAGCGGUGAAAUGCGUAGAUAUCAGGAGGAACACCUGUGGCGAAAGCGGCUCACUGGACCAUAACUGACGCUGAUGCACGAAAGCUAGGGGAGCAAACAGG